rnacentral:rRNA from 1 species
UACGGAGGGUGCAAGCGUUGUCCGGAUUUAUUGGGUUUCAAGGGUGCGUAGGCGGCUUUUUAAGUCAGUGGUGAAAUACAGCAGCUCAACUGUUGAGGUGCCAUUGAUACUGAAGAGCUUGAGUACAGAUGAGGUAGGCGGAAUUUAUGGUGUAGCGGUGAAAUGCAUAGAUACCAUAAAGAACACCGAUUGCGAAGGCAGCUUACUAAGCUGUAACUGACGCUGAGGCACGAAAGCGUGGGGAGCGAACAGG